GACGAACGCUGGCGGCGUGCUUAACACAUGCAAGUCGAACGGUAAGGCCCUUCGGGGUACACGAGUGGCGAACGGGUGAGUAACACGUGGGUGAUCUGCCCUGCACUUCGGGAUAAGCCUGGGAAACUGGGUCUAAUACCGGAUAGGACUCCGGACUGCAUGGUCUGGGGUGGAAAGCCUUUGCGGUGUGGGAUGGGCCCGCGGCCUAUCAGCUUGUUGGUGGGGUGAUGGCCUACCAAGGCGACGACGGGUAGCCGGCCUGAGAGGGUGACCGGCCACACUGGGACUGGGAUACGGCCAAGACUCCUACGGGAGGCAGCAGUGGGGAAUAUUGCACAAUGGGCGCAAGCCUGAUGCAGCGACGCCGCGUGAGGGAUGACGGCCUUCGGGUUGUAAACCUCUUUCAGCAUCGACGAAGCGAAAGUGACGGUAGGUGCAGAAGAAGGACCGGCCAACUGCGUGCCAGCCGCCGCCGUAA
rnacentral:rRNA from 1 species